CUACGACGUUGAUAGGUUGGGUGUGUAAGCGCUGUGAGGCGUUGAGCUAACCAAUACUAAUUGCCCGUGAGGCUUGACCAUA
rnacentral:rRNA from 1 species